rnacentral:tRNA from 1 species
UGAGGGGUAGUUUAAUUAGAAUGUGGGAUUGUCAAUCCUACGGUAUCUUAGAGGAUUCCUUUAG